GAACAAAAGUUGAACGCGUUGUAGCGCAUAUUUAGUCAAUGACAUGAACACACAACAGUAUUUAUUUGACAUUUUAGGGGACGCUGAGCUUCCCUUGCAGACUUAGAACAAUCGCCACUGGCUCAAAGUCUUUUAGAGCUUAAGAACUCCCUGUAAAUAAUUACAAUUACUAAGGUCAGCUCUGUUUACUACGCAAUGCACUGGUCAUCGUUUGCAGUCAAAGGAAUCAGAGGUCAUGUAUCCAAACUCUUUUUGGUGUAGAUGUGAGCAGCGUGAUUCUGGAUGACUACAACAUCCAUGUCAUUGCCAGCAUACUCAAGCAGUGGCUUCGGGACCUGCCCAGCCCGCUCAUGACCUUUGAACUAUACGAAGAGUUCCUCAGAGCCAUGGGCCAGCCAGACAAGCGGGAAGUGAUCUGAGGCGUAUACUCUGUAAUCGACCAGCUCAGCAGAACACACCUCAGCACAUUGGAGCGUCUGAUCUUCCAUCUGGUCAGGAUUGCCCUACAGGAGGAGACGAACAGGAUGUCCGCCAACGCACUAGCCAUCGUCUUUGCUCCCUGCAUCCUCCGUUGUCCUGACACCAUCGACCCACUGCAGAGUGUCCAAGAUAUCAGCGAAACUACAGCGUGUGUGGAGCUGAUCAUCAACGAGCAGAUGAGAAAGUACAAAGCUCGUCUGAAGGACAUCAGCAGCCUGGAGUUUGCAGAGAGCAAAGCCAAGAGCAGACUGACCCAGAUCAGGCGGUCCCUGGUAAGAUCGGCCUGAGUUUCAGACCUGUUGAGAUGAAACCUGUGAUAUAAAUUAUCAUUAUGCGCGAUCAUGGAGGUGUAUGCUGUUUUCUGGACUUGUCCCCCACCCAUCAUUAAAACAAAAGCAAGGUUCUGCUCCAUGAGCAGCUGGCAUGGUUUACCUACUAAGCCAUGGCAAGAGUUCAUUUACAUCUUCAUCCAGGUUUUGUUAAAUAUAUCUUUAUAUAUGGACAAAUGAUACCAGUCUUAAGAUCUGACAAUCCUGCUGGGAUCCUGCAGAGGGAAACACUGACCUGCAAGGAGCACAUUGUGGGAUUAUAGUGUCUUGCAAAGUCUUCAUGCCCCUUGAAAUAUUUCAUUUUGUCAGCACAAAGUCGUGCAAAUUUGUGAAAUGGAAGUAAAAGGAUAUAGGCUUUUUAAAUUUUUGCCGAGAAAUAUUGGAAAAGUAUGUUUGUAUGUAGCCCCCUUAACUCUGAUACCAUUAAUAAAAUCCAGUUGCCUAAUUAAAAACUAGAGUCCGUCUGUGUGUAGUUUAAUCUCAGUAUAAACCCAGCUCUUCUGUGAAGAGAACAUUAGUGAACAAACAGCAUCAUGAAGACCAAGGAUCACAGGUCAAGUUUAAUGCAGGGCUACGUUCUAAAACAAUAUCCCACUUUACAGAGCUCCGUUCAAUCCAUCAUCUGAAAAAUAGUAUGGAACAACUAUAAACCUCCAAACAAAUGGCAGGUUGGCAAGAAGACAAUAAAUCAGAAAAAUA